UGGGGAAUUUUGGACAAUAGGGGAAACCCUGAUCCAGCCAUCCCGCGUGUGCGAUGAAGGCCUUCGGGUUGUAAAGCACUUUUGGCAGGAAAGAAACGUCGCGGGUUAAUACCCCGCGAAACUGACGGUACCUGCAGAAUAAGCACCGGCUAACUACGUGCCAGCAGCCGCGGUAAUACGUAGGGUGCAAGCGUUAAUCGGGAUUACUGGGCGUAAAGCGUGCGCAGGCGGUUCGGAAAGAAAGAUGUGAAAUCCCAGAGCUUAACUUUGGAACUGCAUUUUUAACUACCGGGCUAGAGUGUGUCAGAGGGAGGUGGAACUCCGCGUGUAGCAGUGAAAUGCGUAGAUAUGCGGAGGAACACCGAUGGCGAAGGCAGCCUCCUGGGAUAACACUGACGCUCAUGCACGAAAGCGUGGGGAGCAAACAGGAUUAGAUACCCUGGUAGUCCACGCCCUAAACGAUGUCAACUAGCUGUUGGGGCCUUCGGGCCUUGGUAGCGCAGCUAACGCGUGAAGUUGACCGCCUGGGGAGUACGGUCGCAAGAUUAAAACUC
rnacentral:rRNA from 1 species